UAAGUGCUCUUAGCCACUGAGCCAUCUCUGCAGCACCAGCCCUCCUCCCAAUUUUCAAACAGGCUCUGAGCCCAGGAUGGCUCAGACCUCAGUGAGUAGCCUAGGCUGGCCUUAAGCUCACUCCAGCCAUCCUGCCUCAUCCAUUUGAAUGCCGAAUGCCGCGUGCCUCUUGCUGUUGGUGUGAAACAACCCGAAGCCAGGCAGAACUGGAACACAGGGUUCUGUUGGUCGUUUUCCAAGUAUCAAUCAGAACUGCAUGCCAGCCUCCACUCCUUGGAAAUAAUUAAAUGAAAUGACGUACUUCGUUUUUUUCAGUCUGGUAAAGCACUGUGAUUUGCAUCUGUUGAAGGAAUCUAUCUUAAGUCUUGAGGCGGAGCCCUGUGGGACGACUCAAGUGAUGGAGGGGGGGGGGAGCGUUGCUAAAACACUUGAGUGGACGAAAUGCUUUAUUUUGCAACUGAUUCCCAUCAGGAAGCUGCUCUUUGUGAAAAUAUUCGUGAAUUCAUUGCAAAGGUUCCCUCCCCCCUUGUUUAGUAUGUCUUCCCACCUCCCUUUGCCUUUUAAAUUUAUUUUUUAUAUUUUAGACACAGUACAACACUGCAGACUGGUUCUAAACUCAAGUGUCCGAGAAUGACCUUGAACUCUUGAUCCUAUUGCUUCUCCCACCUCUGCGUUCCGAAACCACAGGCUGGAUGUCACACUUGACUCAGUACCAUCUCUUUAUAUUUGCAAAAUUACAUUUCAUGCUAGGCUCUAAACAGACCUCACCGACAGAGCAGAUGAUUUAUGGUUUAAGAAUAGGUUUGGGAUUGAAGGCUCCUCUCUCUCAUUGCGGAAAGUGGAAGUCUAUAUAGCAACCUUCAUUUUAAAGCCAAAGCCAAGCACCUAGCAAACGCGUAGUUGCUACAGCAUAACCUAUGACUUCUAUGCAGACGUAUGUCAAAGGCUGUGUGGGCUACUAAAACGAAAUAAAACUUCCUUCCUCCUCCCUCAAGAGUGGGAUUCCCUGUCGGGGUACAGAACCCGCAGGGGAAGGAAGGGCUGGUGUUGGCGUGCGAUGGAGAUGGGGCUCUCGGCUGGGGGUGUGGGAUGCGGUGUUCCCGAGGCGACAGAUGAGCGACUUUGGCUGUGUGGGAAGGGAACUGCGGAAUUCCUCCCUUUGGUGGCUGAUGGGGGGGGGGGGGGUUGCGCUCUGAAGGAGACGUUAGGAUGCAGAGCACGGCUCGGGCUGUCCAGGGCGCGGAGGCGAGCCAAGGACACCCGUCCGAACGCGCCUGGGUCGCCCGCGUUCCGGCACCUCCCUGUCACCGCGCGCCCCAGACAGUCCCCCAGCGGCCGGGCAGUGAGCGCUGAGCGCCCACCCGUGGGCCCCGCGCUCGGAUGACACGCGAAAGUCACGGCCGAGAAAAGCCGAGGCCGUGCUCCGCUCGCUCCGGCCUCAGCCAGCUAAGCCCUGCUGCGAAGACGGCCUGCGCGCACACGCGCGCGAUCU